GUAGUUGUGGCUGAGUGGUUAAGGUGGUGGAUUAAAAAUCCAUGGGGGGGGUCUGCCUGGGCAGGUUUGAAUCCUGCCAACUACG